rnacentral:rRNA from 1 species
UACGUAGGGGGGCUAGCGUUGUCCGGAUUUAUUGGGCGUAAAGAGCUCGUAGGCGGUUUGUCGCGUCUGCCGUGAAAGUCCGGGGCUCAACUCCGGAUCUGCGGUGGGUACGGGCAGACUAGAGUGAUGUAGGGGGAGACUGGAAUUCCUGGUGUAGCGGUGAAAUGCGCAGAUAUCAGGAGGAACACCGAUGGCGAAGGCAGGUCUCUGGGCAUUAACUGACGCUGAGGAGCGAAAGCAUGGGGGAGCGAACAGG